rnacentral:lncRNA from 1 species
ACGUACUCAUGAGGCAUAUUGGGGUCCUUUGUUGUUUGGUUGCUGCUUCUCUAACUUCUAUUGUGACAAAUUGAUGGAAGUGGCUGUGGCUCUAGCCUUUUUUUAAAAAAAUUAUUACAUAGGUGGUAGCGGAAGGGAAAAUGGAGAGGGGAUUACAAGGUGGAGAAUCGAACUCCCACCAUCAAGGUGAAAAUUCAGGUAACUAACCAAUUGAGCUAUUAAGAUUCCCCGCUGUGGCUCUAGGCAUAUUUUACAAUUCCAAUUUCCCCAUUUUUAUAUUUAAAAGCUGGACACUAUGAAUCUCCUCUCUCCCUNNNNNNNNNNNNNNNNNNNNNNNNNNNNNNNNNNNNNNNNNNNNNNNNNNNNNNNNNNNNNNNNNNNNNNNNNNNNNNNNNNNNNNNNNNNNNNNNNNNNNNNNCCCAUCCCAAAAUAUAUACAAUUCAGUCAAGAUUGGUUCAUUUCCUGCUGUCAAAAUGAAGAAGUAGUUUCUCAUCCUGACAUAUCUGCCCUGCCAGUUUGGAUAUGUCCUUUUCUACAUUUCCUCUGAAGAUCUUUGACAUGGCCUAUAGGUACAACUACAUGUGAUUAUGUGGUCAGUUUGAAUUAUCCGGGUACUAUUUUAGUGCAGGUUGUUAUAUGCAAUCAUUGAUAACAUGUUGUUACCUGUCUACAUGUGACUACCAAGACAUGUUAUUCACCCCUUAAUCUUGUAUUUAGUGAUAAAGAUUUGCUUCGUACUAAAUAUGUACUAAACGGAUUUGCUUCGGCUUUUCUUAAGAUACAACAUCAUAUUUUUAUGCCUUAAAUGUGCUGCAUGAGGUUGAAUUCUCAAAAAAAAAAAAAGUGCUGCUUGAGGUCGAGCCGGUUUAGCUACUGGUAUUUCCCUUAUUUCUUCAUUUACUAACAGAUUAUAAAGAUUCUCUACUGAUUAAGCAAGAUCAUUUUGACAUUACUUCAAGUUGGUAUGCCAAAUGAUUAUGAGAAAGCCCACGAGAUACAGAUUACCUACCUGCUGCUUCUUUAAUUACAAAAAAAAAAAGAACUAUUAAUUUGAUUACCAACUCAAGCCUUGAUUAUGUAUCUUAAGAUUCUUGGAUGCCCAUAUUGAUAAAAAGAUAUCCUUGGAUGCUGGUGUUUCUGACUCUUUUUUAUUCUAACUAAAAGUUCUCCAAACCGUGGUUAUUUCUAACAUUAGCUUCUAGUAUUACUAAAACUUUUUACGGUUUCAAGCUAAUAGUGCUUGAUCUGGAGGUCGAUUACUUUCUUGUUAUUCACUAUAUUUUCCUUGUGUAGCAUGUGGAAGGAAGAAAUUUUCAUACUCUAUAAAGUCUUUCAUCAAUCAAUUAUCUCCCACUGACUUCUACAGUUGCUUUCCUAGAAAGCAGAUAAGAUUACUUGAUCACUUCAUCGCCGAGCAAUGGUUGAGUCAUUGAGAUAUUGAAGUAACAACCUGGAGAUCUUAAAUUCUAAUUCAGAUUACAACUCUAAGUGUGAGCUCCAAACUUUGUGGGAGAUUUAUUCAACAAUUGUAUUGUGGAUAUGGCAGACUGUCCAGUAGUUUAGUCGAGGUGCAGUACACAAGCUGUUCGAGGCACCAGGUUGUAGUACAAACGAAUCCAUGAAUUUUAUAGAUAAAGAAUUUGGCUAUCCAUUUUCUAAAGACACUAAAUAAUGGGAAAGAUUUCAUUUAUAUGCUUUGCUUGAAGGCUUGUUACAUAAGUUUACAACUCUUUCCUAGCAAGUGGAAAAACAAAAACUGAAAAUUCUAAGCUAGUUCUAAUCUGAAGCUCAGAAUGCUACUUCUUGGCUCUUCAUUUCAUAAUUUCAAUUGAGAUGUCACAUCAACAAAAUCAUUCUCAUUGCAAGGUAUUGUAAGACCACCCAUUGGAUGAUGAAAUCCAAAUUCUUCUUCUGCUUUGCGUAACAACUUCUGGAACGAAGGAUGGUUCAGGUAUGUUAUUGGUACAACGUAUCGUCUCUUCUCUAACUCUCCGACAUAAACUGCAAAAUGUCCUUUAGGAACAUCUGAUUGAUUCCUUGUAAGAACAGACUGUAAUUUGUUGACUUGCUUGGCAGUGGAAAUCAUUGGCAACAGACGAAAUCCCAUGGCUUAGCUUCUUGAUAUGUCAAGUAUUGGGUGCUUGAUAAAAGAUUGAAGCAGGAAUUGUUUAGAUUGAUAAAGAUUUGUGUUUGAUCUGGAAUUGUUUGUGAAGUUUGCACGGAAAAUGUUAUAUUUAUAGAGUUUCUUGCAUAUAAUUCCAUCGCGU